rnacentral:misc_RNA from 1 species
ACAAUAGAGUAGAAGGUUUCUUCGACAAAAUCAAUUUCAUUAUUUUCUAUUCCAGAUAAAAAGCAAUGAACUUGUUCUUAUAAAAAUUUGUUUUUGGUAUAAAGUUAGAGAAUCACUAUGGGUGCUUUAACUAGUAGACAGAAUGCGGGAGUUGAGGAGGCUGAUGUGGUCUCGAAUCAUGCAUAUAAGUACCCACCAAGAUCAGGAAACUACUUUGGGAGCCACUUCAUAAUGGGAGGCGAAAGAUUUGAUACUCCUCAGCCCGAAGCAUAUUUGUUUGGAGAAAAUGCUGACCUUAACUUUCUUGGCAGUAGGCCUACACCUUUCCCAUACCCCCCACCACAAUCAAAUGAGCCAACAAAAACUCUAAAGAGUCUUGUAAACAUCAGAAAAGAGUCAUUGAGGUUUGUUCGCUGUCCUGAUCCCGUGGCUAAACUAGCUGAGAAUAAUAUUGGUGAUGGUGUAUUGAAAUCUGUGGACAGUAAUGGAAAAGGUACCUACUACAACAUAGAGUUUACGUUUGACUGCGAUGCUCGCUGCGCUAUCACAAUAUUCUACUUCUGCACUGAGGAGGUCACACCGGCUGGAGUUGUCUACUACCCACGCGACCCGGCCAUGACGUCGCAAACGUACCACUACAAAAAGGGCGCCAACCAGCAGUUCUGCCAGAUCAGCCACGUGUUCGACCCGUCCCGCCACCCCGAAGAGGACCUGGUGUACAAUGCUGACAGGGAGAUCAUCCCCAUCGCCGUCUACUGUGUAGUCGACGAGGGACAGGACGAGAUAAGACAGUCCCACACAACCAUAGCCAUCGUUGAGAAGCACUCAGACGGAACGUACGUGUUGAAGGCGCUUAAACAGAAAUUGUUUGUGGACGGCCUGUGCUACCUCCUACAAGAAAUAUACGGCAUUGAGAACAAGAACUUGGAUACCAAGGCGACCUCCGACGAAGAAACCGAGGACGGUGGCUCGGAAUGCGUGAUCUGCAUGUGCGACGUGCGCGACACUCUCAUCCUGCCGUGCCGCCAUCUUUGUUUGUGCAACUCCUGCGCAGACUCUCUGCGGUACCAGGCCAACAACUGUCCGAUAUGUAGGGCUCCGUUCCGCGCCUUGCUGCAAAUCAGAGCCCUGCAGAGAGUUAGUACUGCGCCCGCGCUGAUGCCCGCCGCUAGUCCGCCCGAUGGCAGCAUGGAGAACAUCCCGGCGGGCUACGAGCCGGUGUCGCUGCUGGAGGCGCUCAACGGGCCCGGCUCGCCCGCGCCGCGCCCCGCCAUGGCCAGCCCCGACACCGACACCGCUGAACAGGCGGCGGAGAUCCUGAACCGCAGCAACCUGGAGUCCACCAGCCUCGGCAGCGGCAAGCUCCGGCACGCUGCGCCCACGCCGGAGUUCCGCAUGUCCGUGUUGCUGGCGCGUGAAGAAGAAGCGAAGCGGUGCGAAGAGAAGGCCGCCGCAAGCAGUCCGCUCUUGAAUAACCAUCACAACGACGUCAAAUCUAAGUCUUCUCUUAGCCUGGAAUACCCUGGCGAGACUCGCUCGCUCCGCUCAGCCUCGGGCUCGCUGGAGUCUGUCUCCGCGCGCUCGGAGCCGCGCCGCGACGACGCCGAGCCCGACAGCGACACCGAGAGGCUGUCGCCGCUGCUCACGCACACUCCGACAAAAUGCGAGGUCGUGUCCACCCCGCCGUCCGAGAAGACCGGCAACGGAGCGCUGCGGCUGUCCGCGCCUUCGCUCGCGCACAUCGACGACACAGACACCGAAGAACCACACGUCACCGCUAACUGAGCCCGCUAACAGUGUAGUGGAGUGCGCGCCACAGCGGUGGGCUUUGCCGCAUCACGUGACGUCGUUACCCGGUACCCCCCUAUCUCA